rnacentral:rRNA from 1 species
AUUGAACGCUGGCGGCAGGCCUAACACAUGCAAGUCGAGCGAGCGGCGGACGGGUGAGUAAUGCCUGGGACUUGCCCAGUCGAGGGGGAUAACAGUUGGAAACGACUGCUAAUACCGCAUACGAUUGGAUUGCCCAGUGGGGAUUAGCUAGUUGGUGAGGUAAUGGCUCACCAAGGCGACGAUCCCUCGCGGGUCCGAGAGGAUGAUCAGCCAAACGGGAACUGAGAAACGGUCCAGACUCCUACGGGAGGCAGCAGUGGGAAAUAUUGCACAAUGGGGGAAACCCUGAUGAAGCAAGGCCGCGUGUGGGAAGAAGGCCUUCGGGUUGGAAAGCACGUUCAGCGAGGAGGCGUUACUCGCAGAAGAAGCACCGGCUAACUCCGUGCCAGCAGCCGCGGUAAUAC